rnacentral:rRNA from 1 species
UGGUGAAUGCCUAGGCACUAGAAGCCGAUGAAGGACGUGACGAACCACGAAAGGCUUCGGGGAGCAGUAAGUAAGCGAUGAUCCGGAGAUAUCCGAAUGGGGGAACCCAAUACCGCGAGGUAUUAUCAAGAGCUGUUAAGGCUGUUGAAGGAAGACGCAGUGAACUGAAACAUCUAAGUAGCUGCAGGAAGAGAAAGAAAAAUCGAUUUCCCAAGUAGCGGCGAGCGAACAGGAAAGAGCCCAAACCAGCUGGCUUGCCAGUUGGGGUAGUAGGACUGCAAUAAAGUACUUGAAGCGAUAGCAGAAUUAUCUGGAAAGAUAAGCCAGAGAGGGUGAGAGCCCCGUAAGCGAAAUUGCAGAGGGACUUAGCAGGAUCCUGAGUAGGUCGGGACACGAGGAAUCCCGAUUGAAACCGCGAGGACCAUCUCGCAAGGCUAAAUACUAACUAGUGACCGAUAGUGAACCAGUACCGUGAGGGAAAGGUGAAAAGAACCCCGGAAGGGGAGUGAAAGAGAACCUGAAACCGUGUGCCUACAAGUAGUCAAAGCACAUUAAAGUGUAAUGGCGUGCCUUUUGUAGAAUGAACCGGCGAGUUACGUUAUGGUGCAAGGUUAAGUCAGAAAAGACGGAGCCGGAGCGAAAGCGAGUCUGAAGAGGGCGAGAGAGUAUCAUGACGUAGACCCGAAACCAAGUGACCUACCCAUGACCAGGUUGAAGGCGUGGUAAAACACGCUGGAGGACCGAACCCACGUGAGUUAAAAAUCGCGGGGAUGAGUUGUGGGUAGCGGUGAAAUUCCAAACGAACUUGGAGAUAGCUGGUUCUCUCCGAAAUAGCUUUAGGGCUAGCCUCGUGUGAAUGAUAAUGGAGGUAGAGCGCUGUUUGGACUAGGGGCCCGUCAGGGGUUACUGAAUCCAGAUAAACUCCGAAUGCCAGAUAUCAAUGCACGGGAGUCAGACUGCGAGUGAUAAGAUCCGUAGUCGAAAGGGAAACAGCCCAGAUCACCAGUUAAGGUCCCCAAAUCUAUGCUAAGUGGAAAAGGAUGUGGAGUUGCGUAGACAACUAGGAUGUUGGCUUAGAAGCAGCCACCAUUUAAAGAGUGCGUAAUAGCUCACUAGUCGAGUGACGCUGCGCCGAAAAUGUACCGGGGCUAAGCAUAGUACCGAAACUGUGGAUGCAUAUCAAAGGAUAUGCGUGGUAGGAGAGCGUUCUAAGUGCGGAGAAGUUAGAUCGAGAGGACUAAUGGAGCGCUUAGAAGUGAGAAUGCCGGUAUGAGUAGCGAAAGAUAGGUGAGAAUCCUAUCCGCCGAAAGACUAAGGUUUCCUGGGGCAGGCUCGUCCGCCCAGGGUAAGUCGGGACCUAAGGUAAGGCCGAGAGGCGUAGCCGAUGGACAACAGGUAGAGAUUCCUGUACUGAAAUUGUUCGAUAAGAGCAAAGGAGGGACGCAGGAGGCUAAUGACGCAUGUAGCUGGAAAAACAUGUGCAAGCAGUAAGAAAAAAGAUGAGUCAAAUGCUUAUUUUUAGAUUUCAAGCUGUGACGCGGAGUGAAAUCAAAGUAGCGAAGGUCAUGAUGUCACACUGCCAAGAAAAGCUUCUAGCCAGAGCAAUUUUACCCGUACCGCAAACCGACACAGGUAGUCGAGUGGAGAACACUCAGGUGAGCGAGAGAACUCUCGUUAAGGAACUCGGCAAAAUGACCCCGUAACUUCGGGAGAAGGGGUGCUGAUGGUAAAAGAUCAGCCGCAGUGAAUAGGCCCAAACAACUGUUUAUCAAAAACACAGGUAUCUGCAAAAUCGUAAGAUGACGUAUAGG